rnacentral:rRNA from 1 species
UACGAAGGGGGCUAGCGUUGUUCGGAAUCACUGGGCGUAAAGCGCACGUAGGCGGACGUUUAAGUCAGGGGUGAAAUCCCAGGGCUCAACCCUGGAACUGCCCUUGAUACUGGACGUCUUGAGUCCGGGAGAGGUGAGUGGAACUCCGAGUGUAGAGGUGAAAUUCGUAGAUAUUCGGAAGAACACCAGUGGCGAAGGCGGCUCACUGGCCCGGUACUGACGCUGAGGUGCGAAAGCGUGGGGAGCAAACAGG